GUCCACUGUAGCGCAAUGAAUAGCGUCUUAGACUUCUAAUCUAAAGUUCGUGCGUUUCGAAUCUCGCCAGUGAUG